UGGUCCCUCAGCAGCAGUAGCAGCUGCAGUGGUACUGUUAUAUCUGCUGAUUCCUCUACCAAGGCUAGAAUUCCUCCCUCCUGAAAACAGAGCAGAAACAGAACCAGAAGUGAAGGAACGAGAGAGCAAACUAGAUAUCCUCCUAGCAGCCAUAGCAACUUCCUCUCGGUGCUCUCUCUCUCUCUGUCUCUCUCUCAGUCUCUCUGUGGGGGGUGUAAAAUCUUUUUUUAAUGCCCUGUAACUCUCCUCUCUAUGUAAUUAUAUAUAAAAUCUCUCACUCUAAAAUGGGAACUUAUCUAGUGGCCACCUCCAACUUUUCUGAUAAUUAUCCAAUAAAGUGGAAAGAGUCAAAAUAUAUAUAAAUAUAUCAAUAUCAAUUAAACAUCAAUUUUCUGGGUUUUCUUUAGUGUUGACAGAUUAAAAUUCUUUGCAAGUUGUUU
rnacentral:misc_RNA from 1 species